CGCCUUAUACUCCUACGGGAGGCAGCAGUGGGGAAUUUUGGACAAUGGGGGCAACCCUGAUCCAGCCAUGCCGCGUGUGUGAAGAAGGUCUUCGGAUUGUAAAGCACUUUAAGUUGGGAGGAAGGGCCAUUACCUAAUACGUGAUGGUUUUGACGUUACCGACAGAAUAAGCACCGGCUAACUCUGUGCCAGCAGCCGCGGUAAUGCAGAGGGUGCAAGCGUUAAUCGGAAUUACUGGGCGUAAAGCGCGCGUAGGUGGUUUGUUAAGUUGGAUGUGAAAUCCCCGGGCUCAACCUGGGAACUGCAUUCAAAACUGACUGACUAGAGUAUGGUAGAGGGUGGUGGAAUUUCCUGUGUAGCGGUGAAAUGCGUAGAUAUAGGAAGGAACACCAGUGGCGAAGGCGACCACCUGGACUGAUACUGACACUGAGGUGCGAAAGCGUGGGGAGCAAACAGGAUUAGAAACCCUAGUAGUCCACGUACCA
rnacentral:rRNA from 1 species